CUCGUAGGCGGUUCGUCGCGUCCGGUGUGAAAGUCCAUCGCUUAACGGUGGAUCCGCGCCGGGUACGGGCGGGCUUGAGUGCGGUAGGGGAGACUGGAAUUCCCGGUGUAACGGUGGAAUGUGUAGAUAUCGGGAAGAACACCAAUGGCGAAGGCAGGUCUCUGGGCCGUUACUGACGCUGAGGAGCGAAGGCGUGGGGAGCGAACA
rnacentral:rRNA from 1 species